rnacentral:rRNA from 1 species
UACGGGGGGGGCAAGCGUUGUUCGGAAUUACUGGGCGUAAAGGGCUCGUAGGCGGCCAACUAAGUCGGACGUGAAAUCCCCAGGCCCAACCUGGGAACUGCGUCUGAUACUGGAUGGCUUGAAUCCGGGAGAGGGAUGCAGAAUUCCAGGUGUAGCGGUGAAAUGCGUAGAUAUCUGGAGGAACACCGAUAGUGAAGACAGCUAACUAAGCUCUAACUGACGCUGAGGCACGAAAGUGUGGGGAUCAAACAGG